AUUAAGUCAUUAUUUUACUGGUCUGGCCCACUUGAAAUCAAAUUGGGCCAAAUGUGGCCCCUGAACCCAAAUGAGUUUGACAGCCCUGGUUUAAAGCCUCUGAAAACCUAAAUACACAACAGCAGUCUCAUGUGCAUAAUAGACAACAGUAUUAGAAACCAGUUGCAGUCCAAAUUCCAAAUUUAUUUCAUUGUCAUUUAAGUUUUGUAAGAUUUUUAUACAUUUGCGGUGGUUUUACUGCAGAUUUUUUAUACAGCUAAUCCCACAAACACGUCUUCUAAAAACACCCCAAUUAGUUUUCCAAAUUAAUUCACUGUCUGCUGGUAUUUACGUUCUGCCAGUCAGUUUAUCUACCCAUCGAUACUGUCUGUACCCCAUCGUGUCUGUUUUUUAAGCUGGUUCUGGGUACAAAUGCAUGGUUGAUCAUGUUUUAUUAUUCUGAUUCACUGCUUUAUUGUCGAUGCGGCUCCAUUGACCACUGUUGUUUUCUUCUUCAUGCACCGACUGGAAAUGAGCAGGGGUCAUCUGUAGCAUUAAAAAACAUAAUGUCCCCCAGAUUUAGUUCUGCAACUAAAGGGGGGUUUGGUGACAAAUAGCUUAAUUUCUUCAUCUUUCCAUGUAUCACAACCCUGCAAUCUAUACACAUAGUUAAAAUGUACAUAUAAUUAACUCAUUAGUCUAUUACUGUCGUUACUGUUAUCAUUAUUACUAUAUUUAAGGAUAUGUAACAUUUGCAUUUUGACUCAUUAAAAUUGUAGCUAAUGCCACUGGCUAACAUGACAUCAAACAAAUGGGAUCCAAAACAGUUUAACAGUCUGAGAGAUGGUCUAAACCACAGAAUGUGGGGUUUUUGAUCAGGUUUUCUAGUAGCUGUCAAGGUUUAUUUACAUACACUCAGAUUUUUGGGAUCCUGAACAAAACAGACAACACUUACGUGUUUUUCAAAAUAAAUUUCCAGAGGCUCUAAACAAAUUAAGCCCAACUAAUCAUCUAGUUUUUGUAUGAUUCACAGUGCCUCGUCGUCAUGUGGUGAAAUUCAGUAUUUUGGCUUUGCACUGGUGAGAAACGGCAUUUAAGCAGCAAAAAAAAAAAAAAAAAAUCGUUAAUAAUGAAAGUGGAGUUUACAACAAUCGGAAGCUUUGAGUCAUUUCAGUCUUGUAAAUAUGAAUUCUAUAAAUACAAGCAAAAAGCUAUAAUCACUGUGUGAAAAGAUCAAACUGUAGCUGCUUAUUGAUCUGACGAGCAAAGUCAUGAUCAUGCUCAGAUUUUAUUAUUGCAUCCUUUAUUUUUAUGUUUGUUCUUUUGUCGUAGUUAGAGGAUCAGAAGGGAAACCUGGUCGUGGAAAUCUAGACUCACAUUUAAAGGGACAUGAUGCUGUUCUUUAACAUCACUUUGGAAAACCUUUAUCACUGUGUCAUUGUGACGGGGUUCAGUUGACGGCAGAUGCUUUUAUAAAAACUCACAUUUGAUAAACAUUUUUAACUGGAAGAAAACUCCAUGUUUAACUUGUUAGCUAUAACUGCUAACUGUUUAUAAAGUAACGUGUGAGCUAGCUGCGCUCUAGCUCACUGGUUUCUGCAGAUGUCAUACAGUUAGUAUAAGAGGACGAUAAAAACUGUGUAAUUUGCUUAGUUAAAAAAA